rnacentral:rRNA from 1 species
CCUUUAUGGAGAGUUUGAUCCUGGCUCAGGACGAACGCUGGCGGCGUGCCUAAUACAUGCAAGUCGAGCGGAUCUUCUUGAGUAGCUUGCUACUCAAGAAGGUUAGCGGCGGACGGGUGAGUAACACGUAGGCAACCUGCCCAUAAGACCGGGAUAACAUUCGGAAACGAAUGCUAAGACCGGAUACGCAAGAAGGCGGCAUCGCUUUCUUGGGAAACACGGUGCAAGCUGUGGCUUAUGGAUGGGCCUGCGGCGCAUUAGCUAGUUGGUGGGGUAACGGCCUACCAAGGCGACGAUGCGUAGCCGACCUGAGAGGGUGAACGGCCACACUGGGACUGAGACACGGCCCAGACUCCUACGGGAGGCAGCAGUAGGGAAUCUUCCACAAUGGGCGCAAGCCUGAUGGAGCAACGCCGCGGGAGGGAGGAAGGCUUGCGGGUCGUAAAGCUAUGUUGCCAGGGAAGAAAAAGGGCCAGUUAAGUGCUGGUCCGAUGACGGUAC